UACGGAGGGGGCUAGCGUUGUUCGGAAUUACUGGGCGUAAAGCGCGCGUAGGCGGACCUGCAAGUCGGGGGUGAAAGCCCGAGGCUCAACCUCGGAACUGCCUUCGAUACUGCGGGUCUCGAGUCCGGGAGAGGUGAGUGGAAUUCCUAGUGUAGAGGUGAAAUUCGUAGAUAUUCGACAAGAACACCAGUGGCGAAGGCGGCUCACUGGCCCGGUACUGACGCUGAGGUGCGAAAGCGUGGGGAGCAAAACAGG
rnacentral:rRNA from 1 species